rnacentral:tmRNA from 1 species
GGGGGUGACCGGUUUUGACAGCAGGUAGAGUCUGAUUGUAAGCACGUCGAGCAUUGUGUGGUGGCUCGUAAAUAUCAACGCUCAAAAAUUAACUGGCAAUAACAGCUACGCACUCGCUGCUUAAUUUUCGAGGAAAAUUAGCUUAAUCGACGGCUCCAAGGCGGGCUGACGACGAGUAUCCCGAACGGUGGUUCCGCUCUUUAAUCAUCGCUCAUAUGGGGUAUCAUUCAUUUAGAGAUAGCCGCGAGGAGGGCUUCGGCCGAGUGGCGAAAUUUUAGAAGCUGGGGCUUGUGUUCGGUUGUUGCCUGCCAGGCAUAAGCAGAAGGAUUAAACGGUAACUAAACGUGUAGAAAGCCUUUGGGUUCCUUGUUUGGACGCGGGUUCGACUCCCGCCACCUCCACC